rnacentral:rRNA from 1 species
GACGAACGCUGGCGGCGUGCCUAAUACAUGCAAGUAGAACGCUGAAGGAGGAGCUUGCUUCUCUGGAUGAGUUGCGAACGGGUGAGUAACGCGUAGGUAACCUGCCUGGUAGCGGGGGAUAACUAUUGGAAACGAUAGCUAAUACCGCAUAAGAGUAGAUGUUGCAUGACAUUUGCUUAAAAGGUGCAAUUGCAUCACUACCAGAUGGACCUGCGUUGUAUUAGCUAGUUGGUGGGGUAACGGCUCACCAAGGCGACGAUACAUAGCCGACCUGGGAGGGUGAUCGACCAAACUGGGAUUGGGACACGGCCCAGACUCCUACGGGAGGCAGCAGUAGGGAAUCUUCGGCAAUGGACGGAAGUCUGACCGAGCAACGCCGCGUGAGUGAAGAAGGUUUUCGGAUCGUAAAGCUCUGUUGUAAGAGAAGAACGAGUGUGAGGGUGGAAAGUUCACACUGUGACGGUAUCUUACCAGAAAGGGACGGCUAACUACGUG